rnacentral:tRNA from 1 species
GUCUCGGUAGCUUGCCUAAGUGGUAUGUAUAGCAUGCGAUUGCAGAUCGCAGGGUCCGAUGUUCGAUCAACCGUCGGGACU